AUUGAGGUAGAGACAAGAUUUUACACUUUGACUUGGCACCUUUCUUUAAAUCAGUUUUUGUCGCGUUUCAGUGUCAACUGCUAACCUUCAUAAAAUAUUCAUUACUCAACCAAUUUUCAAAAAUAAAAGGCCAUUUUACUCGAUUUAGCUAGCAGAACACAGAAAAUAAGUUAAAAGGGAGAAUUUGAAAAAAAUAUUUACUAUUAAGGUAGCAAUACACAGUUAGGAGUUUAGUUUCGCAUUUUGGCCCCG
rnacentral:lncRNA from 1 species